GACAGCAGUAGCCGCGGGAAUACGAAGGGUGCAAGCGUUACUCGGAAUUACUGGGCGUAAGCGUGCGUAGGUGGUGGUUUAAGUCCGUUGUGAAAGCCCUGGGCUCAACCUGGGAAUUGCAGUGGAUACUGGGUCACUAGAGUGUGGUAGAGGAUAGUGGAAUUUCCGGUGUAACAGUGAAAUGCGUAGAGAUCGGAAGGAACAUCUGUGGCGAAGGCGACUAUCUGGGCCAACACUGACACUGAGGCACGAAAGCGUGGGGAGCAAACAGGAUUAGAUACCCCCGUAGUCCCUGUCUCUUAUACA
rnacentral:rRNA from 1 species